rnacentral:rRNA from 1 species
UACGGGGGGGGCAAGCGUUGUUCGGAAUUACUGGGCGUAAAGGGCGCGUAGGCGGCCUUCUAAGUCGAACGUGAAAUCCCCGGGCUCAACCUCUGGCCUGCAUCCGAAACUGCCCGACUAGAGGUAGGUAGGGGAGAUCGGAAUUCCUGGUGUAGCGGUGAAAUGCGCAGAUAUCAGGAGGAACACCGAUGGCGAAGGCAGGUCUCUGGGCUGUAACUGACGCUGAGGAGCGAAAGCAUGGGGAGCGAACAGG